rnacentral:rRNA from 1 species
AUUGAACGCUGGCGGCAUGCUUUACACAUGCAAGUCGAACGGCAGCGCGGGGGCAACCCUGGCGGCGAGUGGCGAACGGGUGAGUAAUAUAUCGGAACGUACCCAGAAGUGGGGGAUAACGUAGCGAAAGUUACGCUAAUACCGCAUACGAUCUACGGAUGAAAGUGGGGGACCUUCGGGCCUCAUGCUUUUGGAGCGGCCGAUAUCUGAUUAGCUAGUUGGUGAGGUAAAGGCUCACCAAGGCGACGAUCAGUAGCUGGUCUGAGAGGACGACCAGCCACACUGGAACUGAGACACGGUCCAGACUCCUACGGGAGGCAGCAGUGGGGAAUUUUGGACAAUGGGGGCAACCCUGAUCCAGCAAUGCCGCGUGAGUGAAGAAGGUUUUCGGACUGUAAAAUCCUUUUCUGUGUGACGAGAGUGGACGGUAGCACAGGAAUAAGUCUCGGCUAACUACGUGCCAGCAGCCGCGGU